GGCCAUGUUGUGACGUCAUCAUCCGGGACAGUGGGCUGGCUGGGCCACCAUCUUGCCAGUCGUGGUGAGCACCUGACCGGAGGGCGACUAAGGAGAGUAGCGGAGCGGGAUGAUGUAAGGUGAAGGACGCUAUGUAUCGCAAUGUGGGUGUUCUUCUUGCCUUACUCGCCGCCACACAACACCUCCGCGUCCUCGCUGCUGGAAAUAUAGGAUGCCUCUUCAGUGAGACACUGUGUGAGGGGGAGCGGGAGUGGUGCUUUGACGGUGAG